rnacentral:lncRNA from 1 species
UCCAUAUUUAACAUUUUUUUUUGUACAGAAUCCCAUUAUUAUUUUCUCCCUUAGAAAAAAUUAGAAGCUAAGUUAUGCUAUGUUUAGGACAGAUAUGACUCUGUUUUGGCAGGUAAUGGAUGUCAGGAAUGAUUUUCUAAUGGCUAGUACAAUGUUUUGGGGUUUUUUAUUUUUUAAUAUUAUUUUGUAAUUGACAAAUAACAAUUGUACAACAGCACAAUGUUUGGUUGUGAUUUCUACUACUGUCAAAUGUUGUCUUCUGGUGACUAGACCUUUCGCUUUUUGACUGUGUUUAAGCUGGAAGCCCUAAAGCCACUGCAGGGUCAAGCGUCCCCAGUGCAGUGAUGGUCAUGGGGCCGUCACUACCCACUGAAAGCUGGGAGAGGACAGCCCUGGCGGGGUCUGCAGUGAUGGUCACAGGGCCGUCACUACCCACUGAAAGCUGGGAGAGGACAGCCCUGGCGGGGUCAACUCCCCCCCGAUGCAGUGAUGGUCACGGGGCCGUCACUACCCACUGAAAGCUGGGGGAAGACAGCCCUGGCGGGGCCAAGGAGCUUGCAGUGUCCCAUCAACCCUCCUGGAGAGAUGCCUGAGACCCGGUUUUACCUAUGAGUCUGGCCUCAGGACAGGAAAGAUGGGGACACGCACAGCUGAGGCAAGAGCCAUGACAGGGCAUCUGCUGUCAGCCACAUCCACCCCAGAGGGAAGCAUGCCCUUACCCCAGAGGUGAGGACACAGAGAUCCAGAGGCGGCGCUGGUGCCCUUCACUGGGGCCACACCACAGGGCCUUUCCUUCCUUUGUCAACCUUGCUCUGUGGGCCAGGGGAGCUCACUCAACCUCACUCUCUUUAAACCCUUCAUGCCAACCCAGAAUCUGGCUCUGCUCAUCCUUGCUACGCUAGAGUGGGCUUUACUGUUACUCAGAGGCUGACAAAAAUACUUGAGAAGAGUCACUUCCAGCACGACAGAAGGAGGAGGCUGACAAAUCAUCUUACCUAAAAGCAACUAUUAUGCCGGACAAAAGUGUCAAAAUAAUCCUUAUGGCACUCCCGAAAAUGGCCAAGUCUCUGGCUCAGCUCUGGCACUGAAGGUGGUCAGCCCAGACAAGGCAGGCACUGCAGAGGGGCUCACUGAUUCUGAGUGUGGUCGGUGAAAGUGGUGGUCCUGGGGGCAAGCAGACAGGGAAGGUGGCAGCUCCACCACCUGGGGCCGUGGUCAGUCACAUUCAGGCAAGCAGCAGGCUGACAGGUCCUUCCUUCCUGCCUGCCUUCCUUCCUUCCUUUUUUCCUUCCUUCCUUUUUUCCUUCCUUCCUUUUUUCCCUCCUUCCUUCCUUCCUUCCUCCUUUCUUCCUUCCUCCCUCCCUUUACAUUACAGGAGUUAAGAGUAAACCAUACUCCGGGCAACCAUCACCCCAAAAGGGAGACAACCAGACCUUCUGUGCCUCCCAAUGAAAGUCCACAUUCAACACCACCUACGAAGGAUUCUUACCAAAGACACCAAAACUGAACUCAGGCAACCCUCCAGAUAUAACUACCAAUUUGCAGAAAAUAAAAGGGAUAGAAGAACACAAAGAUGCAAUCAGCAAAAUUCAGACAGGACAAGCAAUAUUUUUUUCAAGAAGAAGAAGAAAAUUGAGGGAGUCUGGAAGAGAUGUAGAGUAAACUGGUAGAGUGAGACACUUAAGGGAUGCAUGAGUUCAGAACAAAGUGUAGACCUCGUUGGGAUCCCAGUUCAGGCAAGCAAAUCUUAAAAUGUUCAUGAGACUGUUGGAGGAAGGCAAACACAGAUAGCAUAGGUGUUGACAUUAAAGAAAUCUUAAUUUUCUGUGUGUGGUGACGGUAUUGCGGUUAUUUUUAAAAGGGAGUCGUCCAUGCCUUUUGAUGUUAUAUAUUUUUUUAAUUACAGAUUAACAUGAUUUUCCAAAUGUGCUUCAAAAUAAUUCACGGGAGUAAGUGAGCUCAGGAAUGCAAAAUAAUAAAUUUAGCUACAAGGCGUUUAUUGUUGAAGGCAGGCAAUGGGCACGUGGGAAUUUUUAAUAUAAU